AACGAACGCUGGCGGCGCGUCUUACCCAUGCAAGUCGAGCGGCAGGCCGCAAUGCCGUGGGCGGCGGACUGGUGAGUAACACGUGGAUAACGUAACCCGAUGUCCGGGACAGCCUGUUGGAAUAGAGGGUAAUACCGGAUAGAUCACUGUUUACGAGAGGUAGACAGCGGGAAAGGAGCUUCGGCUCCGCGUCGGGAACGGUCUGCGGCCCAUCAGCUGGACGGCGGGGUAAAGGCCCGCCGCGGCGAGGACGGGUAUCCGGCCUGAGAGGGCGAACGGACACACUGGGACUGAGACACGGUCCAGACUCCUACGGGAGGCAGCAGUGAAGAAUAUUCCGCAAUGGGGGGAACCCUGACGGAGCGACGCCGCGUGAGCGAAGAAGGCCGGAAGGUUGUAAAGUUCUUUUCUGGCGGAGGAAUAAGUGUCGGAGGAAAUGCCGGUACGGUGACGGUAGGGCAAGAAUAAGCACCGGCUAAUUACGUG
rnacentral:rRNA from 1 species